UACAGAGGGGGCAAGCGUUAUUCGGAAUUAUUGGGCGUAAAGGGCGCGUAGGCGGCCUGGCAAGUGGAAGGUGAAAUCCCUCGGCUUAACCGAGGAACUGCCCUCCAAACUGCUUGGCUUGAGUCCGGGAGAGGUGAGUGGAAUUCCCAGUGUAGCGGUGAAAUGCGUAGAUAUCAGGAGGAACACCGGUGGCGAAGGCGGUUCUCUGGGCAUGAUCUGACGCUGAGGAGCGAAAGUGUGGGGAGCGAACAGG
rnacentral:rRNA from 1 species